AGUAGGGAAUCUUGCGCAAUGGGCGAAAGCCUGACGCAGCCAUGCCGCGUGAAUGAUGAAGGUCUUAGGAUUGUAAAAUUCUUUCACCGGGGACGAUAAUGACGGUACCCGGAGAAGAAGCUCCGGCUAACUUCGUGCCAGCAGCCGCGGUAAUACGAAGGGGGCUAGCGUUGCUCGGAAUUACUGGGCGUAAAGGGCGCGUAGGCGGACAGUUUAGUCAGAGGUGAAAGCCCAGGGCUCAACCUUGGAAUAGCCUUUGAUACUGGCUGUCUUGAGUACGGGAGAGGUGUGUGGAACUCCGAGUGUAGAGGUGAAAUUCGUAGAUAUUCGGAAGAACACCAGUGGCGAAGGCGACACACUGGCCCGUUACUGACGCUGAGGCGCGAAAGCGUGGGGAGCAAA
rnacentral:rRNA from 1 species